UUCCUGGGGGGCCGCCACAGUGGGCCCCAUCACAAAGCGCCCAUCUGGGCCCCGGCAAAUGGGCUCCAGGGGUAAGGGUCCCCGGCUAGGCGGAGGAUCUGGGUGGGGGCUGGGAGUUCCGGCAGGAUCCCCCCAGAGCAGACUCUGGCGCAGGCUGGGAACUGGGGAACCCUGGAGCUUCAGCUUCGCCACGCUGUCAGGACUGCCUGAGCCCAGAGCAGAGCUGGGGAAGGACAGGAGAUCAGGGUCUGUGGUAGGGGCAGGUCCCCCUCCCAGGAGCCAGCGUCAGGCCUUGAGAGGUUUGGUGAACAGAGCAGAGCUAGGGAGAACAAGCGAGGAAAGGACCAACAAGGUGGAAGGGGUGGAGGGAAGGCACAGGCCAUACUGGACCGGCCUCAGGCUGGGGCCACUGCACACCCCUUCUUACCCUCUCCCACUUUUGUUCCUCUCCCACCCCUAACAUCCCCCUAGUAAAGAUGCAAAAAAGGAAGCAGAGGAUACUGGCAUGUACAAUGGAAAAGCAGAAGAAAGCCAAGGAGGUGGAGGCACUUACGGUGCAGCUGAUGUCCCGGUCGGAGAGAAGAUAAGAGGUGGAUCUGGAAGGGCACGAGAAUAAUAGGUGACACAGGCAAAAAACCAGGCCCUCCAGGCGCAGACUCUCUCACCCAACACCAAACGCCCAACCCCAUCCGGGUGGGAAAAGCGUAGGCAGGACCCGAUGCAGGACUAAGAGCAUGCACCUGGAUCACACAGGAGCGAGGAUUUUCCCCCAGCCAGAGGUCCCCAUCCUCCUCCUCCCUGUCCUUCUCCACCACCUGCCCCGCAGCCUCAUACAAUUGACUGUCAGAUGCACCCAGGAGCCGUUAGCAAAAUCGUCUUCAGGGAUGUGCUGGUCCAGGAAGAACACGCGGCACUCGUACCAGCCCUGGUCUUCCACCCGGAGACCCUCAAUCUGGAGAGAGGCCCCCUUCUGCAGCCGGACUCGUCCUGGGGGAGGAGCCCUGAAUCAAGGGUGCUGAAGGAACCCCAUGGAAGCCCCAAUCCCCUGGUCACACUGGUAAUUCUUAGAGCUGGGACCCUGUCUACACAAAGAGAAACCAAGGGGACAGCAGGUGGACAAAACCUUCCCCCUGAACUGCACUCGGCGUCCAGGACUGUUGGGGAAGGAGGUGAAGAGCCAGCACGUAGUCUCCUCUGGACUCUUACAGGAUCUGGGCUUUUUUUGUAGGGGAAGGUGUGAGCUCCUGGGAGUACUCCUGAUAGAGCAUUGUUUCCCUGAAAACCUCAGCAGUGUUUGAGGCCCUAGCAGGGGAACCCAGACCCCGCCUGCCAAAGCCCCUAAUCCCUCAGGGC